AACGAACGCUGGCGGCAGGCCUAACACAUGCAAGUCGAGCGAAGCCUUCGGGCUUAGCGGCGGACGGGUGAGUAACGCGUGGGAACGUGCCCUUUGGUACGGAAUAGCCCCGGGAAACUGGGAGUAAUACCGUAUGUGGUCGAGAGACGAAAGAUUUAUCGCCAAAGGAUCGGCCCGCGUUGGAUUAGGUAGUUGGUGGGGUAGUGGCCUACCAAGCCGACGAUCCAUAGCUGGUUUGAGAGGAUGAUCAGCCACACUGGGACUGAGACACGGGCCAGACUCCUACGGGAGGCAGCAGUGGGGAAUCUUAGACAAUGGGGGAAACCCUGAUCUAGCCAUGCCGCGUGAUCGAUGAAGGCCUUAGGGUUGUAAAGAUCUUUCAGUGGGGAAGAUAAUGACUGUACCCACAGAAGAAGCCCCGGCUAACUCCGUGCCAGCCGCCGCGGUAACAC
rnacentral:rRNA from 1 species